CAGGCCAUGGGAAGACAUUACCUGUUGAUAACACAGACUAUUCUCAUGAUCAUGGGAGGUGUGAGAGAAUUGCUGCUCUUUGUGAUGACUGUGGGGGUUGUCAAAGUUUCUUGUUACCCUGUUGGAAAGUCCCAGAAGCAAGAUCAAGUCUCUCUGCAGAGGAGACUUGGAGAGCUGUCAUCAAAUGACGUCUCCAUUGAGCAUGCCCUGGCCUUGCUCCGAUCCAUAGGGUCUGACGCUAAACAAGACAGAGAAGAGUAUUUAGAGACUAACGAAGUAGAAUCCCAAGCUUCUCCAAACCAUGGUAGCUCUCAGGCAAAUGAUGCCCUGUCCUCUGAGGAGAAGCUGAGGCGCAUGUCCUCUGACGACGCUGCGACUGGCCCGUCUGACGACGCUACCUCUGAAGCUGCGACUGGCCCGUCUGACGACGCUACCUCUGAAGCUGCGACUGGCCCGUCUGACGACGCUACCUCUGAAGCUGCGACUGGCCCGUCUGACGCACGCUACCUCUGAAGCUGCGACUGGCCCGUCUGACGCACGCUACCUCUGAAGCUGCGACUGGCCCGUCUGACGACGCUACCUCUGAAGCUGCGACUGGCCCGUCUGACGACGCUACCUCUGAAGCUGCGACUGGCCCGUCUGACGACGCUACCUCUGAAGCUGCGACUGGCCCGUCUGACGCACGCUACCUCUGAAGCUGCGACUGGCCCCGUCUGACGACGCUACCUCUGAAGCUGCGACUGGCCCCGUCUGACGACGCUACCUCUGAAGCUGCGACUGGCCCCGUCUGACGCACGCUACCUCUGAAGCUGCGACUGGCCCGUCUGACGACGCUACCUCUGAAGCUGCGACUGGCCCCGUCUGACGACGCUACCUCUGAAGCUGCGACUGGCCCGUCUGACGACGCUACCUCUGAAGCUGCGACUGGCCCCGUCUGACGACGCUACCUCUGAAGCUGCGACUGGCCCGUCUGACGACGCUACCUCUGAAGCUGCGACUGGCCCCGUCUGACGACGCUACCUCUGAAGCUGCGACUGGCCCCGUCUGACGACGCUACCUCUGAAGCUGCGACUGGCCCCGUCUGACGACGCUACCUCUGAAGCUGCGACUGGCCCCCGCCUGACGACGCUACCUCUGAAGCUGCGACUGGCCCCGCCUGACGACGCUACCUCUGAAGCUGCGACUGGCCCCCGCCUGACGACGCUACCUCUGAAGCUGCGACUGGCCCCCGUCUGACGCACGCUACCUCUGAAGCUGCGACUGGCCCCCGUCUGACGACGCUACCUCUGAAGCUGCGACUGGCCCCCGUCUGACGCACGCUACCUCUGAAGCUGCGACUGGCCCCCGUCUGACGACGCUACCUCUGAAGCUGCGACUGGCCCCGCCUGACGACGCUACCUCUGAAGCUGCGACUGGCCCCCGUCUGACGACGCUACCUCUGAAGCUGCGACUGGCCCCCGUCUGACGCACGCUACCUCUGAAGCUGCGACUGGCCCCCGUCUGACGACGCUACCUCUGAAGCUGCGACUGGCCCCCCGUCUGACGACGCUACCUCUGAAGCUGCGACUGGCCCCCCGUCUGACCACGCUACCUCUGAAGCUGCGACUGGCCCCCGUCUGACGACGCUACCUCUGAAGCUGCGACUGGCCCCGUCUGCGCCUGACGAACGCGCUACCUCUGAAGCUGCGACUGGCCCCCCGUCUGACGACGCUACCUCUAAGGAACUGUUCACCGCUUCAUCGGAGCCCCCGUUGACCACAAACAUGGAUAUCUGACGUGGGACAUGGUGCUCGGGGUCCAUGCAAGAGUUCAUGGGUACUCUAGUCCAGGUUGUCUGUGUGUGUAACUGCAUUUGCUUGUUUUGGCUCAAUUAAACAUUAACUGUAA